UCGGCUGGCCAAGAUCCCGCCAGGUUACUAGGGCAGCGUGAGAAAGCCGUGACUUUAGUGGAGAUGAGCUGUCACUCGCUAUUAAAAGUUCAAAGUCAAAUUUGCAGUCCACUUCUGGCAAGGAAGACAGAGCUGCGUGGCCUCUAACAUUUUGUGGGCCAUUGCAAAGCUCACAUUCUCCGUGCCUGUGGAGCUUCAUGAUGCAAACAGCCAUGAUCAGACCUGUCCGGAUGGUCCAGGCUCGCCAAAUUCUAGUCCAGCACCCCUUGGAGACACAGGUGUCCUCCCCACAUCUAGAGACUUUUGAAACUAAGACAGCAAACCGGGGAAUUGAAGACAUCAGCUCUGAAGUCACGCUGCUUGGGCUCAAGGGCUAGAUCUGUUCAUAAUCAUGGGUGCACCUGGGCAGAUUUCUUAAUGUGCCUGAGCCUCAGUUUCCUCACGUGUAAAACGGGGUGGUAGUAGUUCCUCCUUCACCAGACUGUGGUAAAGUUUCCUGCUAAAUGCCCAGCAUGUGAUAAGGACUCCACAAAUGCUUCGUUGUUAUUCUUUGAAAGAAUUGUUAAAACAGGAUCCCAAAAUUGUGGUAUAUUUUCAUGUUUACAUUACCAAAUUCUAAUUCAAAACACAAUGGCAUAUAACUGCUAUUCACAGGUAAUUACAAGAGUGUGUUUGUUUGUUUGUUUGUUUUUUAAUUAAUUCAUAGCACCCAAGAGGUAUUAUGGUCCAAUCAUAGGACUUGAGGUUAGAGUUGAAUGAGAAACAUUUGUAUCUAUGACUAUAUAUAAGACCUCUUUGCAAACAAUGUCAAAAUUAUGAAUUUGAGAUCCUUUGUGAAUGUGUGUCCCCAUGCCAAAUACUUUCCCUGUCCUUUGCUAACCCCCAUUCCCUCCCACGUUCAUAUCUUCAGAUGACCAGAGCGAAUAACUUCCAGUGGGAAGCUGGAAUAAACUCCACUUCCUGUGUCUCUGAUUUCA
rnacentral:lncRNA from 1 species